UCACAGCUUACGCUGGCAGUCUCACUAGAGUCCUCAGCAUGACCUGUUAGUAACUAGUGAUAAGGGUUGCGCUCGUUAUGGCACUUAAGCCGACACCUCACGGCACGAGCUGACGACAACCAUGCAGCACCUCGCAAAUUGCUAUUACUAGAGACUCUGUUUCCAGAGCUGUCAAUAUGCGUUCAAACCCGGGUAAGGUUCCUCGCGUAUCAUCGAAUUAAACCACAUGUUCCUCCGCUUGUGCGGGCCCCCGUCAAUUCCUUUGAGUUUCACCGUUGCCGGCGUACUCCCCAGGUGGAUUACUUAACGCUUUCGCUGUGCCGCUUACUGUGUAUCGCAAACAGCUAGUAAUCAUCGUUUACUGCGUGGACUAC
rnacentral:misc_RNA from 1 species